AUUGAACGCUGGCGGCAGGCCUAACACAUGCAAGUCGAACGAGUGGCGGACGGGUGAGUAAUGUCUGGGAAACUGCCCGAUGGAGGGGGAUAACUACUGGAAACGGUAGCCAAUACCGCCUUCUAUAUGAUGUGCCCAGAUGGGAUUAGCUUGUUGGUGGGGUAACGGCUCACCAGGGCGACAAUCCCUAGCUGGUCUGAGAGGAAGACCAGCCACACUGGAACUGGGACACGUUCCAGACUCCUACGGGAGGCAGCGGUGGGGAAUAUUGCACAAUGGGCGCAAGCCUGAUGCAGCCAUGCCGCGUGUAUGAAGAAGGCCUUCGGGUUGUAAAGUACUUUCAGCGGGGAGGCGUUACCCGCAGAAGAAGCACCGGCUAACUCCGUGCCAGCAGCCGCGGUAAUAC
rnacentral:rRNA from 1 species